rfam:Camelus ferus unplaced genomic scaffold scaffold1600, whole genome shotgun sequence.
GGAAGGGUACAGCUCAGUGGUAGAGUGCGUGCUUAUCAUGCAUGAGGUCAUGGGUUCAAUCCCCAGUAAUUCCA